rnacentral:rRNA from 1 species
AACGAACGCUGGCGGCAGGCUUAACACAUGCAAGUCGAACGCAUCCUUCGGGGUGAGUGGCAGACGGGUGAGUAACGCGUGGGAACGUGCCCUUCAGUUCGGGAUAACCCAGGGAAACUUGGGCUAAUACCGGAUACGUGCGAGAGCAGAAAGAUUUAUCGCUGAAGGAUCGGCCCGCGUCUGAUUAGCUAGUUGGUGGGGUAAUGGCUCACCAAGGCGACGACGGGUAGCCGGCCUGAGAGGGCGACCGGCCACACUGGGACUGAGACACGGCCCAGACUCCUACGGGAGGCAGCAGUGGGGAAUAUUGGACAAUGGGCGAAAGCCUGAUCCAGCAAUGCCGCGUGAGUGAUGAAGGCCCUAGGGUUGUAAAGCUCUUUUACCAGGGAUGAUAAUGACAGUACCUGGAGAAUAAGCUCCGGCUAACUCCGUGCCAGCCGCCGCCGUAA